UGCGUAGGCGGAUUAAUAAGUCAGUGGUGAGAUCUCUCGGCUCAACCGGGAAACUGCCAUUGAUACUGUUAAUCUUGAGUUCGGUUGAGGUAGGCGGAAUGUGUAAUGUAGCGGUGAAAUGCUUAGAUAUUACACAGAACACCAAUUGCGUAGGCAGCUUACUAGACCGACACUGACGCUGAGGCACGAAAGCGUGGGUAGCGAACAGGAUUAGAUACCCUGGUAGUCC
rnacentral:rRNA from 1 species